rnacentral:rRNA from 1 species
CUACGGGAGGCAGCAGUGGGGAAUAUUGCACAAUGGAGGAAACUCUGAUGCAGCAACGCCGCGUGGAGGAUGACACUUUUCGGAGCGUAAACUCCUUUUAUAUAGGAAGAAGAUGACGGUACUAUAUGAAUAAGCGCCGACUAACUCCGUGCCAGCAGCCGCGGUAAUAUGGAGGGCGCAAGCGUUACUCGGAAUCACUGGGCGUAAAGAGCGUGUAGGCGGAUUAAAAAGUCAGAAGUGAAAUCCUAUAGCUUAACUAUAGAACUGCUUCUGAAACUCUUAAUCUAGAAUAUGGGAGAGGUAGAUGGAAUUUCUGGUGUAGGGGUAAAAUCCGUAGAGAUCAGAAGGAAUACCGAUUGCGAAGGCGAUCUACUAGAACAUUAUUGACGCUGAGACGCGAAAGCGUGGGGAGCAAACAGGAUUAGAUACCCCAGUAGUC